AUUGAACGCUGGCGGCAUGCUUUACACAUGCAAGUCGAACGGUAACAGGGGAGCUUGCUCCCGCUGACGAGUGGCGAACGGGUGAGUAAUGCAUCGGAACGUGCCGAAUAGUGGGGGAUAACGCACCGAAAGGUGUGCUAAUACCGCAUACGCCCUGAGGGGGCAAGUGGGGGACCGCAAGGCCUCACGCUAGUCGAGCGGCCGAUGUCGGGUUAGCUAGUUGGUGGGGUAAAGGCUCACCAAGGCGACGAUCCGUAGCGGGUCUGAGAGGAUGAUCCGCCACACUGGGACUGAGACACGGCCCAGACUCCUACGGGAGGCAGCAGUGGGGAAUUUUGGACAAUGGGGGAAACCCUGAUCCAGCCAUGCCGCGUGUCUGAAGAAGGCCUUCGGGUUGUAAAGGACUUUUGUCCGGGAGGAAACCCUGAUCGUUAAUAGCGGUCGGGACUGACAGUACCGGAAGAAUAAGCACCGGCUAACUACGUGCCAGCCGCCGCUGUAACAC
rnacentral:rRNA from 1 species